UACGGAGGGGGCUAGCGUUGUUCGGAAUUACUGGGCGUAAAGCGCACGUAGGCGGAUUGGAAAGUUAGAGGUGAAAUCCCAGGGCUCAACCUUGGAACUGCCUUUAAAACUACCGGUCUGGAGUUCGAGAGAGGUGAGUGGAAUUCCGAGUGUAGAGGUGAAAUUCGUAGAUAUUCGGAGGAACACCAGUGGCGAAGGCGGCUCACUGGCUCGAUACUGACGCUGAGGUGCGAAAGCGUGGGGAGCAAAC
rnacentral:rRNA from 1 species